rnacentral:rRNA from 1 species
UCCUACGGGGGGCAGCAGUGGGGAAUAUUGGACAAUGGGGGAAACCCUGAUCCAGCGACGCCGCGUGUGUGAAGAAGGCCUGCGGGUUGUAAAGCACUUUCGGUGGGAACGAAAUGUGCCGACCUAAUACGUCGGCAAGCUGACGUUACUCAAUGAAGAAGCACCGGCUAACUCUGUGCCAGCAGCCGCGGUAAUACAGAGGGUGCAAGCGUUAAUCGGAAUUACUGGGCGUAAAGCGCACGUAGGCGGCUAUGUAAGUCGGAUGUGAAAUCCCCGGGCUUAACCUGGGAACCGCAUUCGAGACUGCAUAGCUCGAGUACUGGAGAGGACAGCGGAAUUCCAGGUGUAGCGGUGAAAUGCGUAGAUAUCUGGAGGAACAUCAGUGGCGAAGGCGGCUGUCUGGCCAAGUACUGACGCUCAGGUGCGAAAGCGUGGGGAGCAAACAGGAUUAGAUACCCUGGUAGG